GGGUGGUCAGCUCAACUGGCAGUCUGGAUGCUAAGAUAAUUCAGGAUCUUCCUAACCAAAGACCAGAUGUAGGUGACUCGAUCAAAGAAUCAUGAAGCAUGAAGUGAAAUCAAGGUCAAGAUCAAUCAAUAGGUUCAUCAAUAGUAGGUUUUAAGGGUAUUUGAUAUGAUCAGGUGUGAUUUGACAUCCAACAUAAAUAUCAAAGCAAUUUCAGACUUUUUUGAGAACAUCAUUUUAUGUUCGUACAUGGGCCA
rnacentral:lncRNA from 1 species